ACACAGAUACUGUACCGCCAACACCGGGAGUGUCGUGUUCGGGUGAAAAGAUUGCGGUGGUGGGAGCCACGGGAUACAUAGGGAAGGCGGUCGUUCGGGAAUCCCUUCGCAGGGGAUAUC
rnacentral:ribozyme from 1 species